AGCGAACGCUGGCGGCAGGCUUAACACAUGCAAGUCGAACGCCCCGCAAGGGGAGUGGCAGACGGGUGAGUAACACGUGGGAACGUACCCUUUGGUUCGGAAUAACUUGGGGAAACUCAAGCUAAUACCGGAUAAGCCCUUAUGGGGAAAGGUUUACUGCCGAAGGAUCGGCCCGCGUCUGAUUAGCUAGUUGGUGAGGUAAUGGCUCACCAAGGCGACGAUCAGUAGCUGGUCUGAGAGGAUGAUCAGCCACACUGGGACUGAGACACGGCCCAGCCUCCCACGGGAGGCAGCAGUGGGGAAUAUUGGACAAUGGGGGCAUCCCUGAUCCAGCCAUGCCGCGUGGGUGAUGAAGGCCUUAGGGUUGUAAAGCUCUUUUACCCGGUACGAUAAUGACUGUACCGGGAGAAUAAGCCCCGGCUAACUUCGUGCCAGCCGCCGCCGUAA
rnacentral:rRNA from 1 species